rnacentral:rRNA from 1 species
AUUGAACGCUGGCGGCAUGCCUUACACAUGCAAGUCGAACGGCAGCACGGGAGCAAUCCUGGUGGCGAGUGGCGAACGGGUGAGUAAAGUAUCGGAACGUGCCCAGUCGUGGGGGAUAACGUAGCGAAAGUUACGCUAAUACCGCAUACGAUCUAUGGAUGAAAGCGGGGGAUCGCAAGACCUCGCGCGAUUGGAGCAGCCGAUAUCAGAUUAGGUAGUUGGUGGGGUGAAGGCUCACCAAGCCGACGAUCUGUAGCUGGUCUGAGAGGACGACCAGCCACACUGGGACUGAGACACGGCCCAGACUCCUACGGGAGGCAGCAGUGGGGAAUUUUGGACAAUGGGCGAAAGCCUGAUCCAGCCAUGCCGCGUGCAGGAUGAAGGCCUUCGGGUUGUAAACUGCUUUUGUACGGAACGAAAAGGUUUGGCCUAAUAAGCUGAGCUCAUGACGGUACCGUAAGAAUAAGCAUCGGCUAACUACGUGCCAGCCGCCGCAGUAA